ACUUUGGAGCCCGGCCUGAGCCAGCAGAUCAGCGCCCCGAGCCAACAGAGAGCCCCGAGCGAGCAGCCCGCCAAGAGCAAGGCACAGUCAGUGUCAGUUGGCACGGCUGCGGGCACCAGUGGCUUGUCAUCAGGUGGACAGCAGCGCAGCCCCCCUUCCGGCAGAGCACCCAUCCAAUUGCAGCCUCGACGUGCUGGCAUCGGGGAGCUGCUGUUGCGUAUAUCGCGCCAGUGUUCCCGCAGCCUAUGCCAGGCCGACGACAUUGUUAGGUGCAUUGGAUAAGAACAUGAAUAACUGUAAGCCUGUUGCCACAUUUGGGACAUGUAGGAGGUUCGCUUCCCGUCAAAAGGUAAGAGUGAGUGGCGUACGUAUGUCCUAUUCUUAAUCUACACAGAAGUACUUCCUUAUGCCUUGCUGUUCUUUCAGUUAUCCAGUUCCCUAAUUUUGGUUUGAUAACGUGUAGCUUAUUCAGUACUGCAUUAUCCCAUUGAUGUUGCCAGUACUUCCUAAGUUUAUGGCGUAAGAAGGGCUUAAGUUCUGUUGCUGCUAUAGGUCUGUUAACAUCCGUUUCAUUAAAGACAACUGACGCUGCACUUUCGUCAGCAGCUACAUUGCCUUUUAUGCCCCUAUGGCCAGGUACCCAACAUAGGACGAUGUUUUGGUUGUAUAUUAAAGCUAAGCAUAGUUCUAUGUAUAGUUUAUUAAAAACAGGAUUCCUAUGUUUUCGAAAACUCAUUAAGGCCCUUAUUACGCUUAAUGAGUCGCUGAAAAUGAUGGCCUUAUUGAGAUUUGUUUGUCUGAUAUGUUUUACAGCUGAGAGUAUCGCGUACGCCUCAGCCGUGAAAAUACUUGUGUUGGGAUUUAGAGAAUCUGAGGUGGAAAAA